AUGGCUAAACCUAAAGAUCUCCCUGUAACACACACCCAGUGGGGGUCAGGAGCUGUAAACAUCCACUGCUGUGGGGUCAAAGCCCCACAGCCUGCCGGUCUCCCUGAGAGGUUUGAGCAGUGGGGCACUGAAGAAGCGAGCCACACCCCCAUCUCACGUCCUGUGAGGAGGACAAGGGAUCUUGAUUGUUUCACCAUCAACUGCGAGAUUCAGGGGGUGCAUGUGCAGGGAUGUUACCUGGGCGUAUUGCACGAUACUGAGGUUUGAGGUACGGAGGAUCCUGUCACCGAGGUACUGAGCACUGUAGCCAAUAGUAAGUUUUUGAAUCUUUCCCCCUCUCCCUCCCUCUCCUCUCUAGUAGUCCCCAGUUUCUGUUGCUGCCAUCCUUAUGUCCAUGAGUACCAAUGUUUAGCUCUCACCUGUAAAUGAGAAUAUCGGGCAUUUGGCUUCUGUCUAGUUUCAUCCAUGUUGCUGCAAAGGACAUUAUUUCAUUAUUUUUUAUGGCUGUGUGGUGUUCCCUGGUGUGUAUUCAUCACAUUUUCUUUUUCCAAUCCACUGUUGAUGGGCACCUAGUUGAUUCAUUGUUUUUGCUAUUGUGUAUAGUGCUGCAAUGGACAUGAGUGCACGUGUCUUUUUGGUAGAAUAACUAAUUUAUUUUCUUUUGGAAAUGUACCCAGUAAUGAGAUUGCUGAGUCAAAUGGUAGUUCUGAGUUCUUUGAGAAAUCUGCAAACUGCUUUCCACAGUGCCUGGCCUAAUAUACAUUCCCACUAACGGUGUGUAAGUGUUCCCUUUUCUCCACAGCCUCACCAGCAUCCACAUAAAACAAUCUCAAAAAUAUCUCAGAAUGCACAUUUUACUUCUACACCCAGUUUAUUUUCAUUAAUAAUGUCAAAUGCUUAUUUCAAGUAACAAUAUCCUCAUUAAAAAUACUUUCAAGGUUUAAAAUCAUGUUUUCCCUUAUGGAAUCUUGCCCUGUGAUAUGAAAAAUUUACCAAAUGGGUUAUAAUAUGCUGCUUACGAUACGCCUCUAAGCCACUGGCAGUCGAGAGAAAAGUAUUUCAUAUCAUCAUACAACCAGAUGCUCAAUUUAACAGUCUCAUCCUUCCCUUAAAUGAAUGGUAACAGGAUUGAUUCUCAUUGAUCAAGAAUGUCACUUCAAUUCAAAGGAAUUUAUAAUGAUAAUUUAAAAAAAAUUAGUGCCUGCAUUCUUAAACCACUGGCAAAAUGGAAAACACAGGCAUUAUAGGCUGACAUUCAGGAGAACCUAUACUUAGACGGCCUAAAGAUUUGCAUCUGGAAGAAGCUGGCUGGAAUAAUCAGAUGAAAUGAAAGGGAACGACAGAUGUUAAUGGUCAUAUUGAAGUUACACCUACUGAUGAUGCCUUUUGGUGGGGUGAGGUGAGGACUCACCCAUGAUGUGUCCUAUAAAAUAUUGAUAGAGGAAUAUGUUUACUGUCUUUUUUCCCCUUAGUACCUUAAAAAUAAUUGCUUUCUUUUUUUUUUUUUUUUGAGACGGAGUCUCACUCUGUCGCCCAGGCUGGAGUGCAGUGGCCGGAUCUCAGCUCACUGCAAGCUCCGCCUCCCGGGUUUACACCAUUCUCCUGCCUCAGCCUCCCGAGUAGCUGGGAUUACAGGCGCCCGCCACCUCGCCCGGCUAGUUUUUUGUAUUUUUUAGUAGAGACGGGGUUUCACCGUGUUUGCCAGGAUGGUCUCGAUCUCCUGACCUUGUGAUCCACCCGUCUCGGCCUCCCAAAGUGCUGGGAUUACAGGCUUGAGCCACCGCGCCCGGCCAAAAUAAUUGCUUUCAACAUGAAUGCUUUUCAAAAGAAGACAUGCAAGCAGCCAACAAACAUGAAAAAAUGCUCAUCACUAAUCCUCAGAGAAAUGCAAAUCAAAACCAUCAUGAUACCCACUUACACCAGUCAGAAUGCCUAUUAAAAACACAAAAAAACACAGCUAUUGGUGAAGAUACAGAGAAAAGGGAAUUCUUAUAUACUGUGGGAAUGUAAAUUAGUACAACCGUCAGGAAAAACAGUAUGGAGAUUUUUCAAAGAACUAAAAAUAGAACUGUGUCCGGAAUUGGUUCCUUCCAGCAGGUUCUUGGCAAGAAUGAAGCUGCGGACCCUCCUGGUGAGUGUUAGUGUUUUUUGUUUUUUGUUUUUUUUGAGAAGGAGUCUCUUUCGCCCAGGCUGGGGUGCAGUGGGGCUAUGUCGACUCACUGCAAGCUCUGCCUCCCACGUUCACGCCAUUCUCCUCCCUCAGCUUCCCCAGUAGCUGGGACUACAGGUGCCCGCCACCACACCUGGCUAUUUUUUAUAUUUUUAGUAGAGUCAGGGUUUCACCCUGUUAGGCAGGAUGGUCUCCAUCUCCAUCUCCUGACCUCCUGAUCCACCCGCCUCAGCCUCCCAAAGUGCUGGGAUUACAGGCCUGAGGAAUCUUACAGUUCUUACAGAUGAUGUG
ensembl:lncRNA